CUGAAACUAAAACUAAUUUUAUUUCCUUCCUCUAAAACUAAUUUUAUUUCCUUCCUCUUCCUACGUCUGCCCAUCUAAGCAAGCCACAUCUCCAUAAUUUCUCUCGAGAGUCUUGUGUCACGUCCCUUGCAAGUUAGUUUAUUAAUUCAUACAAUCUCAAGAUCAACGUGCGACAUUUAGUCCUACCAAAAGUUAAGAAUGAACUAAGUUAGCCUUACACCAACAAAAUAGCCCAAAUAAAUUAAUAGGCUAUUCAAAGUAGCAAGACGAAAACUAGGUGGGACAAUUAAAAUAAAGGAGGAAGGAUUUGUGGGAUUAGAGUUGAAAAAGGAAGCCUUUGAUUCAUAAAAGAAAAAGUAUAAGGGCUAAAGUAUAAUUUUACAAAGUCUACAAGGACUCCAUUGUAAAAGAGGAUUCUCGGCUACACAACUCUUU
rnacentral:lncRNA from 1 species